GCCAGAGGACCCAACAAACUCUGUUAUUUUCAGUAUCUUCUGAGUAAAAACACAAUCAAUUAAAACUUUCAACAACGGAUCUCUUGGUUCUGGCAUCGAUGAAGAACGCAGCGAAAUGCGAUAAGUAAUGUGAAUUGCAGAAUUCAGUGAAUCAUCGAAUCUUUGAACGCACAUUGCGCCCGCCAGUACUCUGGCGGGCAUGCCUGUUCGAGCGUCAUUACAUCCCUCAAGUCCCAGCGGCUUGGUGUUGGGCUUCGGCCGUCCUCAGCGGCGGCCGUGCCCCAAAUACAGUGGCGGUCUCGCCCCCGGCUCCUCUGCGUAGUAGUAACAUCUCGCACUGGGACGGAGCGAAGGCCACGCCGUAAAACAACCCAACUUUCUGAAUGUUGACCUCGGAUCAGGUAGGAAUACCCGCUGAACUUAAGCAUAUCAAUAAGCGGAGG
rnacentral:rRNA from 1 species